CUGACGCUGAGGCGCGAAAGCGUGGGGAGCAAACAGGAUUAGAUACCCUGGUAGUCCACGCCGUAAACGAUGAGUGCUAGGUGUUGGGGGGUUCCACCCUCAGUGCUGAAGUUAACACAUUAAGCACUCCGCCUGGGGAGUACGACCGCAAGGUUGAAACUCAAAGGAAUUGACGGGGGCCCGCACAAGCAGUGGAGCAUGUGGUUUAAUUCGAAGCAACGCGAAGAACCUUACCAGGUCUUGACAUCCUUUGACCACUCUAGAGAUAGAGCUUUCCCCUUCGGGGGACAAAGUGACAGGUGGUGCAUGGUUGUCGUCAGCUCGUGUCGUGAGAUGUUGGGUUAAGUCCCGCAACGAGCGCAACCCUUGACCUUAGUUGCCAGCAUUCAGUUGGGCACUCUAAGGUGACUGCCGGUGACAAACCGGAGGAAGGUGGGGAUGACGUCAAAUCAUCAUGCCCCUUAUGACCUGGGCUACACACGUGCUACAAUGGAUGAUACAAAGGGUUGCGAAGCCGCGAGGCCAAGCCAAUCCCAAAAAGUCAUUCUCAGUUCGGAUUGUAGGCUGCAACUCGCCUACAUGAAGCCGGAAUUGCUAGUAAUCGCGGAUCAGCAUGCCGCGGUGAAUACGUUCCCGGGCCUUGUACACACCGCCCGUCACACCACGAGAGUUUGUAACACCCGAAGU
rnacentral:rRNA from 1 species